AGAGUUUGAUCCUGGCUCAGAGCGAACGCUGGCGGCAGGCUUAACACAUGCAAGUCGAGCGGGCGUAGCAAUACGUCAGCGGCAGACGGGUGAGUAACGCGUGGGAACGUACCUUUUGGUUCGGAACAACCCAGGGAAACUUGGACUAAUACCGGAUAAGCCCUUACGGGGAAAGAUUUAUCGCCGAAAGAUCGGCCCGCGUCUGAUUAGCUAGUUGGUGAGGUAACGGCUCACCAAGGCGACGAUCAGUAGCUGGUCUGAGAGGAUGAUCAGCCACAUUGGGACUGAGACACGGCCCAAACUCCUACGGGAGGCAGCAGUGGGGAAUAUUGGACAAUGGGCGCAAGCCUGAUCCAGCCAUGCCGCGUGAGUGAUGAAGGCCCUAGGGUUGUAAAGCUCUUUUGUGCGGGAAGAUAAUGACGGUACCGCAAGAAUAAGCCCCGGCUAACUUCGUGCCAGCAGCCGCGGUAAUACGAAGGGGGCUAGCGUUGCUCGGAAUCACUGGGCGUAAAGGGUGCGUAGGCGGGUCUUUAAGUCAGGGGUGAAAUCCUGGAGCUCAACUCCAGAACUGCCUUUGAUACUGAAGAUCUUGAGUUCGGGAGAGGUGAGUGGAACUGCGAGUGUAGAGGUGAAAUUCGUAGAUAUUCGCAAGAACACCAGUGGCGAAGGCGGCUCACUGGCCCGAUACUGACGCUGAGGCACGAAAGCGUGGGGAGCAAACAGGAUUAGAUACCCCGGUAGUCC
rnacentral:rRNA from 1 species